CCAGGCACUGCGCAACCCUGGACACCCUCACACCUGGAUUCUUCACGGGUGAGAGGGGGUGAUGUACUUAACUCACCUCUGAGGAGGAGUCCUCAAAACCUGUGAUAUCUAAGCCGGUGUUCCGUUAUAAAACACACCAGAAGUAUAUUGAUGAUGCAUCUUAACUGGCCCUGCCAGUUAAUGUCUUACCUCGAUUUAGUUUGCGGUGAUGCUGCACGUUUUGUCACGCUCGUAUCAUUCAGACUCCCGGCCUGGCUUCCAGAGCGGCGACGGGCGGCGACGCACGGGCCAGGAAAGACCCAGUGGGCGGCUGCGGCCCCUCAGUUCCCCCUCCUGGGCCUCGCGGCCAGCACCCCAGCCGCGGGCACCUGCGUGCCUCGUGACUCUCGAGGGCUGCCCAGCCAACCUCAGCUGUCCGGAACGUGUAUCUCACAACCCCGCCAUCCUCCCAUUGGCAUAAUGGCCGCCCCCGGCUUAGAGUCUGCGCACUACGUGCUGCCCAACGGGGUGUCAAGAGGACUGCGCCUGCGCCGGGGCUCGACGCUGCGCAAGGACAGCUGCGCUUGCAGCCUGCUCAGCUACCCAUUUGCUGCUGGCUCACGGGCGUACUUUCUCAAAGAGAAAUGCUGCCUUCAGUGGACAAAAUUCAGCCACAAUCAAGCUAAUUGAAUGCACAAAUGUAAUAUUUUUCCAGGGCACCUCCAAUUUAAUGCUUGAUGAAAUCGUGUCUUUCGCAUAUAUUUACAAAAGCUUUUCUUCAUCCAGAAAUGUCUGUUAAAAUUGCUUAUAGAUGCUGAGAUAGCAAAUCACUCUUUUAAUGUAAUGAGAUAAGUCAUCUCUAUAAACUUUGCUUGCUCAAAUGUACUCGCAUAAAAGAAAUCAGGCUACAGGCUUUUUUCAAUAAAUAGAAUGAACAACUAGAACUUGAUGGCUAUAGUAUGUUCUGCCUCAUUGCUAAGGGAUGUUUAAAAUUGCUCCCUCUCUCUCCCGAAGCAGAGUUUUCAUUUUCGUAGUUGAUGGAAAAAGGAGGUCAAAUAAACUGAUGUGGAUAAGAAGCCAAAGCCAUUUGUCAAAACAUAGGGAGAGGCCGGAGAUUGGAGUCAUUUAAAGACUAAAAAUUGAUUUAAAAGAGUUCUGUCCUCAAAUCAUUUUUCUUGCUAAAUGUAGCCACUUUGUGAGCCAGGUUUCCCUGCUUUAGCUAUCUUUACUAAUAAUUUACACUAGAGGAACUUCACAUGCUGGGAAGAUUCAUACGCACAGCCGUUCGUGUAUAGCCAAGUAAAACAUAUCCAAAGAUCAAGAGUCUAUGGAAAAAUCGAGGCCUUCAGAGGUUUAGCCAACUGUUUCUAAGUAAAAUGUGUCUUUAAUCUGGAAGCCAACUCUGUGACAAAAGACCUAAUAGGCCAUCUCACACACGCCUGGGGUCACCAUAUAGGGCUAUCAUACGUAUCUGGCCACUCAGGUUGUUCACUGCACAAUUGAAAAGAAGAUACCAUUCACAAAAGCUACAAUGUGAAGGGUGCCAUCUAGAGUUGUACAGUAUGUCAGUCCCACCAGACAGGUCAGGGGGAAAAAAAUACAUCCUCUUGUUCAGUUACAAUCAAUAAGUUUCCAUGGCUACACUACCUGCAUUGCCUUUAAUUCUUCAAAGAAGAAAAUCAAAGUUCUUAUUAUCAGCUGACAAAAUGUUAAAGCCUGCCUGGUGCCCUUUUCCUUCUCUUUACAAAGUAAAAUUGUUUGGGAGUCUAUUCAAAUCUCCAGAUGGUUAUUUAUUUCAAGAAAUGGUUUGGACGGCUUCACUGAGGACAGACUGGAAUCCAGAAAAACAGGAGACCAAAGUCUAAGUGUCCUUUCUGUCAGUUUUGGGUAACAUGAGAUAAUCACAGCUCCAAACAGAGGAGAGACAGCGGGAAGCAUUUGGAACAGUUCUCCCAGAGCCUCUCUGGUGCCAGUCUGCCUUUUGGAUUUUCCGUCAUGCCUGCUGGAGGGUCCAACCGUCCAGACCAGUGGCCAGGGUGCCCUAGGCAUGGUGGGAGCAGAAGCCUCCCCACAUUCUGGCUGUACACCCUUGCCUUCUCCUACCACCUUCCCUUUGCAGCCUGAAACACACUUUAAGAUGGGAAGAAACAAAGCCCAAAUAGUUCUUGAUGUGAAACAUUACUGCAGACAAGCCUCUACUCAGCCCUAUCAAUUUUGAGUUCAAUAUCACCAUUUAGGGUUAAACAUAAAUAUCCUGAUUCCUAUGCAUUUCCUUGAACUCUGUCCCAAGGACACAGAAAAGGUUAUUUUGGGAUUUGAGCAUCAGUUCGAAUAUGCAUGGAAGGAUACAUUUGAGAAAACACUACUUUUGCCUAAGAUACUUUUUAAACAAUAGCUUAGUGGACUUCUAGGCACAUCAUGAGCCAAUCAAGAGCCAUACUCUAUGUGAGUUUCUACCCAAAGUUUGCCAAAGUGAAAACAGCAUAUCAUUCAGCCCACAGAUAUACUUGGUUUGGUCAACAUAGCGUCAUUCUAGCUGAAUUUGCAUGUUUAAGUGGGGCAGGGGGUCUUUAUUUCUCUAGCCGCAUACCCUGGACCCCCGUUCUGUCCAACUAGCCAUUUUACACAUUUAUUUCCAUUACCUUCUUACUCCCUGUCGACUACUGAGUGUGCCCUAUGUCAGCCAGGUUCAGGAAUGAGCAGUUGCCACAGCAUCCUCUGACCAGGAGGAAAUACAGUAGAAGGGUUUGGAGAGAGUCAUCAACUCCCUCCCUAUAUCCUGCUUAGGAGAAGAACAUGUGUAAGCGGGCAAGUCCACAGUGUCCUGGGCUAGCAGCCUAUGGACAGCAUCUUUUUUAUUAUGAACAAUGAUACAGUGUUAUACAUCAUGUCUAUUGCAGUCUAUCCAUGAAAGAAUGAGUAGAAAUCAAUCAGUCCUAGGAACAGCCCCUGGCUGGCUGAGAGGCGUAGGAGACAUAAUUCUUUCUGUAAAUAGUCUUGGUGCCUAUAGCAUGAAUCACCUGUUCCAUUAUCAGAACCAUAAGAAUCUGGUGCAGAGCUUCGUACCUGCUUUAAAAACUUCACCCAAGAUUUUUGGACACAAUAAAAAUGCUUCCUUCUCCUCUGGGCCAUCUUUCUCAAUCGUCCCAAAAGCAAUCACUUUCUUCUCUGUGCCCCAAUCCACUUUUGUUACACCUCCUUACAAGAAUACUGUAGUCUGACUCACCGGCAGGUGUGUCCUUGAAGUUGGGCCGGAACGUUAUUUGUUUCUCUAAGGCUAAUGGCUUACAGAUAUAUCUGCAAUAUUUGCUAGAGCCCACCAUGCCACCCCACUCCUCUUCCCAGUUUGAGGCCACCACUGAUGCUGGUUUUCACCAAAUUUACCUGUAGAAAGAUGAGUAGAUGUGAGUUUCCCCCCAUGCGUACUAUCAUCCCCUGGGCACAAAGAGCUGUGCAAGAGAACUUUCUGGUAUAAUGGAAAUGUUCUGUGCCUGUGCUGUCCAAUACACUGGCUGCUAACCACAUGUGGAUAUCAAGCAUUUGAAAUGUGGAGUGUGACUGAGGAACUGAAUUUUUAAUUUUAUUUCAUUUACAUUAAUUUAAAUGUAAACAGCCACAUCUGGAUAGAGGCUACCAUAUCAGACAGCUGAGUUCUAGAGCUUUAUUCCUCCAGGGGACAGCUUUACACCAGCUGAACAAUAUAGCCCUUACACAUGUUUGAUUUCUACUUUUUAUUGUAUUUAUUUAUUUUUUGAAUUUCAUUUAUUUUAUUUUUUAUCUUUUUUUUUUUNNNNNNNNNNNNNNNNNNNNNNNNNNNNNNNNNNNNNNNNNNNNNNNNNNNNNNNNNNNNNNNNNN
ensembl:lincRNA